rnacentral:rRNA from 1 species
UCCGGUUGAUCCUGCCGGACCUGACUGCUAUCGGAUUGAUACUAAGCCAUGCGAGUCAUUGUAGCAAUACAAGGCAGACGGCUCAGUAACGCGUAGUCAACCUAACCUAUGGACGGGAAUAACCUCGGGAAACUGAGAAUAAUGCCCGAUAGAACAUUAUGCCUGGAAUGGUUUAUGUUCCAAAUGAUUUAUCGCCGUAGGAUGGGACUGCGGCCUAUCAGUUUGUUGGUGAGGUAAUGGCCCACCAAGACUAUUACAGGUACGGGCUCUGAGAGGAGUAGCCCGGAGAUGGGUACUGAGACACGGACCCAGGCCCUAUGGGGCGCAGCAGGCGAGAAAACUUUGCAAUGUGCGAAAGCACGACAAGGUUAAUCCGAGUGGUUUCUGCUAAAGGAACCUUUUGUUAGUCCUAGAAACACUAACGAAUAAGGGGUGGGCAAGUUCUGGUGUCAGCCGCCGCGGUAAAACCAGCACCUCAAGUGGUCAGGAUGAUUAUUGGGCCUAAAGCAUCCGUAGCCGGCUCUGUAAGUUUUCGGUUAAAUCUGUACGCUCAACGUACAGGCUGCCGGGAAUACUGCAGAGCUAGGGAGUGGGAGAGGUAGACGGUACUCGGUAGGAAGGGGUAAAAUCCUUUGAUCUAUUGAUGACCACCUGUGGCGAAGGCGGUCUACCAGAACACGUCCGACGGUGAGGGAUGAAAGCUGGGGGAGCAAACCGGAUUAGAUACCCGGGUAGUCCCAGCUGUAAACUAUGCAAACUCAGUGAUGCAUUGGCUUGUGGCCAAUGCAGUGCUGCAGGGAAGCCGUUAAGUUUGCCGCCUGGGAAGUACGUACGCAAGUAUGAAACUUAAAGGAAUUGGCGGGGGAGCACCACAAGGGGUGAAGCCUGCGGUUCAAUUGGAGUCAACGCCAGAAAUCUUACCCGGAGAGACAGCAGAAUGAAGGUCAAGCUGAAGACUUUACCAGACAAGCUGAGAGGUGGUGCAUGGCCGUCGCCAGCUCGUGCCGUGAGAUGUCCUGUUAAGUCAGGUAACGAGCGAGAUCCCUGCCUCUAGUUGCCAC